rnacentral:rRNA from 1 species
UACGUAGGGUGCAAGCGUUAAUCGGAAUUACUGGGCGUAAAGCGUGCGCAGGCGGUUCGCUAAGACAGAUGUGAAAUCCCCGGGCUUAACCUGGGAACUGCAUUUGUGACUGGCGGGCUAGAGUAUGGGCAGAGGGGGGUAGAAUUCCACGUGUAGCAGUGAAAUGCGUAGAGAUGUGGAGGAAUACCGAUGGCGAAGGCAGCCCCCUGGGCCAAUACUGACGCUCAUGCACGAAAGCGUGGGGAGCAAACAGG